GGGGAAUAUUGCGCAAUGGGGGGAACCCUGACGCAGCCAUGCCGCGUGAAUGAAGAAGGCCUUCGGGUUGUAAAGUUCUUUCGGUAUUGAGGAAGGUUGAUGUGUUAAUAGCACAUCAAAUUGACGUUAAAUACAGAAGAAGCACCGGCUAACUCCGUGCCAGCAGCCGCGGUAAUACGGAAGGUGCGAGCGUUAAUCGGAAUAACUGGGCGUAAAGGGCACGCAGGCGGUUAUUUAAGUGAGGUGUGAAAGCCCUGGGCUUAACCUAGGAAUUGCAUUUCAGACUGGGUAACUAGAGUACUUUAGGGAGGGGUAGAAUUCCACGUGUAGCGGUGAAAUGCGUAGAGAUGUGGAGGAAUACCGAAGGCGAAGGCAGCCCCUUGGGAAUGUACUGACGCUCAUGUGCGAAAGCGUGGGGAGCAAACAGGAUUAGAUACCCUGGUAGUCCACGCUGUAAACGCUGUCGAUUUGGGGGUUGGGGUUUAACUCUGGCGCCCGUAGCUAACGUGAUAAAUCGACCGCCUGGGGAGUACGGCCGCAAGGUUA
rnacentral:rRNA from 1 species